AAUUUUCGGCAAUGGGGGCAACCCUGACCGAGCGACGCCGCGUGAUUGAAGAAGGUCUUCGGAUUGUAAAGCUCUUUUGUAAGGGAAGAACCGUACCAGUAGGGAAUGACCGGUACCUGACGGUACCUUACCAGCAAGCCACGGCUAACUACGUGCCAGCAGCCGCGGUAAUACGUAGGUGGCAAGCUUUAUCCGGAAUUAUUGGGCGUAAAGGAAGCGCAGGCGGCUUAUUAAUUCUGAGGUUAAAGUUCGGGGCUCAACCCAGUGAUACCUUAGAAACUGGUAGGCUAGAGUGCAGGAGAGGUGAGUGGAAUUCCAUGUGUAGCGGUAAAAUGCGUAGAUAUAUGGAGGAACACCAGUGGCGAAGGCGGCUCACUGGCCUGUAACUGACGCUGAGGCUCGAAAGCGUGGGGAGCAAAUA
rnacentral:rRNA from 1 species